rnacentral:rRNA from 1 species
GCAGUCGAGGGGUAUAGGUUUUCGGACCUAGAGACCGGCGCACGGGUGCGUAACGCGUAUGCAAUCUACCUUUUACAGAGGGAUAGCCCAGAGAAAUUUGGAUUAAUACCUCAUAGUAUUAUUGAAUGGCAUCAUUUAAUAAUUAAAGUCACAACGGUAAAAGAUGAGCAUGCGUCCCAUUAGCUUGUUGGUAAGGUAACGGCUUACCAAGGCAACGAUGGGUAGGGGUCCUGAGAGGGAGAUCCCCCACACUGGUACUGAGACACGGACCAGACUCCUACGGGAGGCAGCAGUGAGGAAUAUUGGUCAAUGGGCGCAAGCCUGAACCAGCCAUGCCGCGUGCAGGAUGAAGCAUCUAUGGUGUGUAAACUGCUUUUGUACGAGAAGAAACACUCCUUCGUGAAGGAGCUUGACGGUAUCGUAAGAAUAAGGACCGGCUAACUCCGUGCCAGCAGCCGCGGUAAUACGGAGGGUCCAAGCGUUAUCCGGAAUCAUUGGGUUUAAAGGGUCCGUAGGCGGUUUUGUAAGUCAGUGGUGAAAGCCCAUCGCUCAACGGUGGAACGGUCAUUGAUACUGCAAGACUUGAAUUAUUAGGAAGUAACUAGAAUAUGUAGUGUAGCGGUGAAAUGCUUAGAUAUUACAUGGAAUACCAAUUGCGAAGGCAGGUUACUACUAAUUGAUUGACGCUGAUGGACGAAAGCGUGGGGAGCGAACAGGAUUAGAUACCCUGGUAGUCCACGCCGUANACGAUGGAUACUAGCUGUUCGGAGCAAUCUGAGUGGCUAAGCGAAAGUGAUAAGUAUCCCACCUGGGGAGUACGUUCGCAAGAAUGAAACUCAAGGAAUUGACGGGGGCCCGCACAAGCGGUGGAGCAUGUGGUUUAAUU